AACGCACCUUGCACCCUUUGGUAUUCCGAAGGGUAUGCCCGUUUGAGUGUCAUUGUAAUCUCACACCCCUAGAUUUAUUCGACGGGCGGUGGACUUGGAUGCUGCCGCGUUAAGCGGCUCGUCUUAAAUGCAUUAGUGCAACUUUCGGUUGGACAUAGUACAGCGUGAUAAGUAUCUUCGCUGGCUCUCCUCACGGAGGUGUUCGAACGUUAAGCUCUGUGCUUCUAAUCGUCCCCUGGUGGACUAAGCUUCGGCUUACUUGACAACUUGACCUCAAAUCGGGUAGGACUACCCGCUGAACUUAA
rnacentral:misc_RNA from 1 species